rnacentral:tRNA from 1 species
GGGGUUGUGGCUCAGUGGUAGAGCGCUCACUUCUCACUGAGAGGCCCUGGGUUCGAUCCUCAGCUCCA